rnacentral:rRNA from 1 species
UCGAGGAUCUUCGGCAAUGGGCGCAAGCCUGACCGAGCGACGCCGCGUGUGCGAUGAAGGCCUUCGGGUUGUAAAGCACUGUCGGGGGGAAGAAAGCCCCGCAAGGGGUUGAUCGACCCCCGGAGGAAGCACGGGCUAAGUUCGUGCCAGCAGCCGCGGUAAGACGAACCGUGCGAACGUUGUUCGGAUUCACUGGGCUUAAAGGGCGCGUAGGCGGGCCAUCAAGUCUGGGGUGAAAUCUUUCGGCUCAACCGGAAAAGUGCCUUGGAUACUGGUGGUCUUGAGGGAGGUAGGGGCAUGCGGAACUUCCGGUGGAGCGGUGAAAUGCGUAGAUAUCGGAAGGAACGCCGGUGGCGAAAGCGGCGUGCUGGACCUCUUCUGACGCUGAGGCGCGAAAGCCAGGGGAGCAAACGGGAUUAGAUACCCCCGUAGUCC